AUUAAACGCUGGCGGCAUGCCUUACACAUGCAAGUCGAACGGCAGCACGGGGGCAACCCUGGUGGCGAGUGGCGAACGGGUGAGUAAAGCAUCGGGAACGUGCCCUGGAGUGGGGGAUAACGUAGCGAAAGUUACGCUAAUACCGCAUAUUCUGUGAGCAGGAAAGCAGGGGAUCGCAAGACCUUGCGCUCUGGGAGCGGCCGAUGUCGGAUUAGCUAGUUGGUGGGGUAAAGGCUACCAAGGCGACGAUCCGUAGCGGGUCUGAGAGGAUGAUCCGCCACACUGGGACUGAGACACGGCCCAGACUCCUACGGGAGGCAGCAGUGGGGAAUUUUGGACAAUGGGCGAAAGCCUGAUCCAGCCAUGCCGCGUGAGUGAAGAAGGCCUGGUGUAAGAC
rnacentral:rRNA from 1 species